UACGUAGGGGGCGAGCGUUGUCCGGAUUCAUUGGGCGUAAAGCGCUUUAAGGCGGUUCGCUAAGUCGGGUGUGAAACCUCCAGGCUCAACCUGGAGACGCCACUCGAUACUGGCGUGACUAGAGUUCGGUAGGGGAUCACGGAAUUCCUGGUGUAGCGGUGAAAUGCGCAGAUAUCAGGAGGAACACCGGUGGCGAAGGCGGAUCUCUGGGCCUUACCUGACGCUGAGGCGCGAAAGCUAGGGGAGCGAACAGG
rnacentral:rRNA from 1 species